rnacentral:rRNA from 1 species
GGGGAAUAUUGCGCAAUGGGGGAAACCCUGACGCAGCAACGCCGCGUGAAGGAUGAAGGCUUUCGGGUUGUAAACUUCUUUGAUGAGGGACGAAAGAAAUGACGGUACCUCAAAAACAAGCCACGGCUAACUACGUGCCAGCAGCCGCGGUAAUACGUAGGUGGCGAGCGUUGUCCGGAAUUACUGGGUGUAAAGGGCGUGUAGGCGGGGAUGCAAGUCAGAUGUGAAAUGCCGGAGCUUAACUCCGGAGCUGCAUCUGAAACUGUGUUUCUUGAGUGUCGGAGAGGAAAGCGGAAUUCCCAGUGUAGCGGUGAAAUGCGUAGAUAUUGGGAGGAACACCAGUGGCGAAGGCGGCUUUCUGGACGAUAACUGACGCUGAGGCGCGAAAGCGUGGGGAGCAAACA